AUGCAACGCGAAAACCUUACCUACCCUUGACAUGUCCGGAAUCCCGAAGAGAUUUGGGAGUGCUCGCAAGAGAACCGGAACACAGGUGCUGCAUGGCUGUCGUCAGCUCGUGUCGUGAGAUGUUGGGUUAAGUCCCGCAACCGAGCGCAACCCUUGUCAUUAGUUGCCAUCAUUUGGUUGGGCACUCUAAUGAGACUGCCGGUGACAAACCGGAGGAAGGUGGGGAUGACGUCAAGUCCUCAUGGCCCUUAUGGGUAGGGCUUCACACGUCAUACAAUGGUCGGUACAGAGGGUUGCCAACCCGCGAGGGGGAGCUAAUCCCACAAAGCCGAUCGUAGUCCGGAUCGCAGUCUGCAACUCGACUGCGUGAAGUCGGAAUCGCUAGUAAUCGUGGAUCAGCAUGUCACGGUGAAUACGUUCCCGGGUCUU
rnacentral:rRNA from 1 species